AGUUUUCCUACGGGAGGCAGCAGUAGGGAAUCUUCGGCAAUGGACGAAAGUCUGACCGAGCAACGCCGCGUGAGUGAAGAAGGUUUUCGGAUCGUAAAACUCUGUUGGUAGAGAAGAACGUUGGUGAGAGUGGAAAGCUCAUCAAGUGACGGUAACUACCCAGGAAAUGGG
rnacentral:rRNA from 1 species